GAUGAAGAACGCAGCGAAAUGCGAUAAGUAGUGUGAAUUGCAGAAUUCAGUGAAUCAUCGAAUCUUUGAACGCACAUUGCGCCCCUUGGUAUCCCGAGGGGCAUGCCUGUUCGAGCGUCAUUUCACCACUCAAGCCUGGCUUGGUGUUGGGCGACGUCCUCUUUGGGGACGCGCCUCGAAACGCUCGGCGGCGUGGCACCGGCUUUAAGCGUAGCAGAAUCUUUCGCUUUGGAAGUCGGGGCCCCGUCUGCCGGAAGACCUGCUCGCAAGGUUGAUCUCGGAUCAGGCAGGGAUACCCGCUGAACUUAAGCAUAUCAAUAAGCGGAGGA
rnacentral:misc_RNA from 1 species